rnacentral:rRNA from 1 species
GCCAGCAGCUAUAUCACCCUGCAACUCCCAGCUGGCAGCCCACUGAAGCUCAGCAGGUGUGUGAGCCUGGCCAGUACCUGGAUGGGAGACCUCCUGGGAAAAACUAAGGCUACUGCUGGAA